CCUACGGGUGGCAGCAGUGGGGAAUAUUGGACAAUGGGGGGAACCCUGAUCCAGCGACGCCGCGUGAGUGAAGAAGUAUUUCGGUAUGUAAAGCUCUAUCAGCAGGGAAGAAAGAAAUGACGGUACCUGACUAAGAAGCCCCGGCUAACUACGUGCCAGCAGCCGCGGUAAUACGUAGGGGGCAAGCGUUAUCCGGAUUUACUGGGUGUAAAGGGAGCGUAGACGGCGAUGCAAGUCUGAAGUGAAAGGCGGGGGCCCAACCCCUGGACUGCUUUGGAUACUGUAUGGCUGGAGUGCAGGGGAGGUAAGUGGAAUUCCUAGUGUAGCGGUGAAAUGCGUAGAUAUUAGGAGGAACACCAGUGGCGAAGGCGGCUUACUGGACUGUAACUGACGUUGAGGCACGAAAGCGUGGGGAGCGAACAGGAUUAGAUACCCGAGUAGUC
rnacentral:rRNA from 1 species